rnacentral:rRNA from 1 species
CCCUUAGAUGUUCUGGGCUGCACGCGCGCUACACUGAUGCGCUCAACGAGUUUAUGACCUUGCCCGGAAGGGUUGGGUAAUCUUUUCAAAACGCAUCGUGAUGGGGAUAGAUUAUUGCAAUUAUUAAUCUUCAACGAGGAAUUCCUAGUAAGCGCGAGUCAUCAGCUCGUGCUGAUUACGUCCCUGCCCUUUGUACACACCGCCCGUCGCUCCUACCGAUUGUGUGAUCCGGUGAAUAAUUCGGACUGCAGCAAUGUUCAGCUCCUGAAUGUUGCAGCGGAAAGUUUAGUGAACCUUAUCACUUAGAGGAAGGAGAAGUCGUAACA